rnacentral:rRNA from 1 species
GACGAACCGUGCGAACGUUAUUCGGAUUCACUGGGCUUAAAGGGUGCGUAGGCGGUCGGGUAAGUCUGGCGUGAAAUCUCCAAGCCUAACUUGGAAACUGCGUUGGAUACUAUCCGGCUCGAGGAAUGGAGGGGAGACUGGAAUACUUGGUGUAGCAGUGAAAUGCGUAGAUAUCAAGUGGAACACCAGUGGCGAAGGCGAGUCUCUGGACAUUUCCUGACGCUGAGGCACGAAAGCCAGGGGAGCAAACGGG